rnacentral:rRNA from 1 species
UACGUAGGGUGCAAGCGUUAUCCGGAAUUAUUGGGCGUAAAGAGCUCGUAGGCGGUUUGUCGCGUCUGCUGUGAAAACUGGGGGCUCAACCCCCAGCCUGCAGUGGGUACGGGCAGACUAGAGUGGCGGUAGGGGAGAUUGGAAUUCCUGGUGUAGCGGUGGAAUGCGCAGGAUAUCAGUAGGAACACCAAUGGCGAAGGCAGCUUGCUGGCAUAUUCUGACGCUAAGGCACGAAAGCGUGGGGAGCGAACAGG